GCCUUCGCGGGAGGCGACGACACGCGGCCCACAUUCCGGCCGCCGGGACCGCGCCGAGCCACUGGCGGGACCGAACCGCGGUGUG
rnacentral:ncRNA from 1 species